rnacentral:rRNA from 1 species
AGAGUUUGAUCAUGGCUCAGAAGCGAACGCUGGCGGCAUGCUUCACACAUGCAAGUCGCACGGGCAGGGGUAACUCUGUCAGUGGCGGACGGGUGAGUAACGCGUAGGUAUCUAUCCUCGGGUGGGGGACAACCACGGGAAACUGUGGCUAAUACCGCAUGAUGACUGAGGUCCAAAGGCGCAAGUCGCCUGGGGAGGAGCCUGCGUCCGAUUAGCUUGUUGGUGGGGUAACGGCCUACCAAGGCUCCGAUCGGUAGCUGGUCUGAGAGGAUGAUCAGCCACACUGGGACUGAGACACGGCCCAGACUCCUACGGGAGGCAGCAGUGGGGAAUAUUGGACAAUGGGCGAAAGCCUGAUCCAGCAAUGCCGCGUGGGUGAAGAAGGUCUUCGGAUUGUAAAGCCCUUUCGGCGGGGACGAUGAUGACGGUACCCGCAGAAGAAGCCCCGGCUAACUUCGUGCCAGCAGCCGCGGUAAUACGAAGGGGGCUAGCGUUGCCCGGAUUGACUGGGCGUAAAGGGCGCGUAGGCGGCUUGUACAGUCAGACGUGAAAUUCCUGGGCUCAACCUGGGGGCUGCGUUUGAUACGUAUGGGCUUGAGUUCGGAAGAGGGUCGUGGAAUUCCCAGUGUAGAGGUGAAAUUCGUAGA